GCCCAGUGAUGAGACUAAGGCGAAUAUGAGCUCACUGAAUGAGAGUUUGGUCCUUUUUGCCUUGACUGGCAGGUAAUCUUGGCAGUGCAGAGGAGGAUUCCUGCUCUGCUGUAAGGGCCUGCCGACAGCGACUUGGCUCAGCCCAAAUUAUUCCUCUACAGUCAUAGUGGAGUAAUUGCUUGGGGAUGACGCCGACAGUAUGUGUGUCAUGUCUGUGUGUGUUUGUGUCGUGUGUGUGUGUGUGAGAAAAAAAGACAAGAAGUUCAUCCAGCUCUCUUUGCUGUUUAGCGAGCAAUGAGUAUCGUCUUUGGUAAUCUGAGGGCA